GUUGCUCACAUGGCUUGUAUCCUGACUCCUCUGCAUAGUUUGUGUCCUUAGAUGAAUUGAAAAGGACUGAAAAACCUUCUGUUGCUGGGAACACUGCUUGGGGGGCAGGAACUGAAAUCCCAAGUCACUGAGCCCCCUGGAAGGGACCCGAAGGUGAAUUCGUGAUGUUGCCUGUGAGCCAGGGAGACCUCAAAUAUCCUCCCCUUUGAUGGCAGGCUGGGGAGAUGGGGAUUGUCUGUGUUCUACUCAAAUGGUAAAAGCAGCACCUUUGGUCACUGGCUUCCAGAAAUCAGGAAUGACACAUGGAAGGAAUUUUAUGGUAUUUUGUCUUACCAUAAAACUUAAACUUGGAGUUCCUAUUGUGGUGCAGCAGACACAAAUCCCACUAGGAACCAUGAGGUUGUGGGUUUGAUCCCUGGCCUCGAUCAGUGGGUUAAGGAUCCUGAGUUGCUGUGGCUGUGGGCAGGCUGGCAGCUGUAACUCCGAUUUGACUCCUAGCCUGGGAACGUCCAUAUCUGGUGAGUGAGACCCUAAAAAGCGAAAAAACCAAAACCAAAAACAAAAAAAAACUUCAACUUACUUGUUUAAGUCUUUAAUCCAUUUUGAGUUUAUUUUUGUGUAUGGCGUGAGGGUGUGUUCUAGUUUCAUUGAUUUACAUGCAUGUGUCCAAUUUUCCCAGCACCACUUUCUGAAGAGACUUUCUUUUUCCCAUUUUAUAUUCUUGUCUCCUUUGUGAAGAUUAAUUGACCAUAGGUGUCUGGGUUUAUUUCUGCAUUCUCUAUUCUUUUUCGGUCUUUUCUAGGGCCACACCCACAGCAUACAGAGGUUGCUAGGCUAGGGGUCUAAUCGGAUCUGUAGCUGCCAGCCUAUGUCACAGCCACAGCAACUCGGGAUCCAAGCAACAUCUGCAACCUAUACCACAGCUUGAGGCAACAUCGGAUUAACCCACUAGAAAGGCCAGGGAUCAAACCCACAACCUCAUGGUUCCUAGUCGGAUUUGUUAACCACUGAGACACGACAGGAACUCCUGGGUUCUCUAUUCUGUUCCAUUGGUCUGUAUGUCUAUUUUGAUACCAGUACCAUACUGUCUUGAUUACUGUAGCUUUGUAAUAUCACCUGAAGUCUGGGAGAGUUAUGCCGCCUGCUUGGUUUUUGUUCCUCAAGAUCGCUAUGGCAAUUCUGGGUCUUUUAUGGUUCCAAUUAAAUUUUUGAAUUGUUUGUUAUAGUUCUGUGAAAAGUGUCAUGGGUAAUUUGAUAGGGAUUGCACUGAAUCUGUAGGUUGGUUUUAGUAAUAUGGCCAUUUUUAUGAUGGUAAUUCUUCCAACUCAGGAGGAUGGAAUAUCUCUCCAUUUCUUUGAACCCUCUUUAACUUCCUUGAUCAAUGUUUUAUAGUUCUCAGAAUAUAAGUCUUUCACUUCCUUGGUCAGGUUUAUUCCUAGGUAUUUAAUUUAUUGGGGUGUGAUCUUAAAAGGUAUUGUAUUUUUAUAUUCCUUUUCUAAUAUUUCAUUGUUAGUAUACAGAAAUGCAACUGAUUUCUGAAUGUUUAUCUUCCUCCU
ensembl:lncRNA